rnacentral:lncRNA from 1 species
CCACCGCCUCUGAAUCCCUUCUUUCCUCUCUUCUCUCUCACCCCCCUCUAACCCUAGCCCGCCGUCAUUGAUAUCCCCCUUGAUUCAUGGGGUUUUCCUUCGAUUUUAUACCUUAUCUUGCCUCACCCCUCUACUGGUUACACAAUUUCUAUGCUGCUUGAUGUGAAUUCCAAGAGACUCGAACCAACUCUGGUUCAAAGUCUCUCCUUUCUCGACUAUCCCGUCUAUGUUCACCCCGAUACGUGUGAGUAUAAGUAUUGUUCGUAUUUUUGAGGAUUCAAAUCUUUGGUUCAAACUAGAUUUGAUUCGCUUCUGGCUAUUUUCAUGAAUCUAACUAUUUCUGGUUGAAUCCAUUUAGAUCUCUCUAGAUCUGAAACGAUUCUGUGUUUGUUUGGUAUUUCUCCCUUAAAAUUUUCCGUUUUCAGUAUUAUUGACCGAUUUCAUUUAUCCUAAAAGCUAGGGUUUUGAUUUCUGAUGGAUUUCUGCAAAAAAAAGGUUUUAGCGUUUAAAUGUUUUCAUCUCUGAUUUUCCUAUUUUAAUUUUUCGACUGAUUUUACUUGAUUUAAUCAAGCUCCAUCUAUAUGUCUUUGUAUUUCUUAAGGUUUUGAUUCUUUGACUAUUUAUUCUACUGUCUUUUGCCCGUUUACCUUUUAUUAUGUUAAUUAUGUGUUAAUUAAUUCUACUUACCUAAAUUAGGGUUUGGAAUCAACUUUCCUUUUAGUACCAGUAUUUCUUUAUUAAGAUUUUACCAGUUCUUACUUUAUUUAUGUGAUUAACUAUCUGUAUUACUGGCUUGACUUUGCGUUUUGACUCCUAAAAUUGAUUUUGGAAUUAGUUUUUACCUUAUUUAACCUUAUUCUUAAUUAUUGAUUGAUUCCAUGUGAGAUUUUCCUUAAAUUAAGUGAUACUUGCUCAAUUCUAUCCUAUUAAUUGAUUCCUGUUAGCCGUAGUUGACUGAUUAACUGAUCUCUUUGCCUUAUUUGUGUACCAUUGGUUCUCCUACCUUAUUUGGUUUUACUCUAUUUUAUGCUAUAAAAACCCUUCCCCUUUCCCCUUUGGAGAACAUGUGAACUCUCCUAUUCUCACUACAAAAAACUUAAGCUCUCUCUUGCUCCUGUUCUGAUUUCUGUACUAAGUGACUAUUAUUUGGCCGGCUAAAAGUCAAUGCCAAAUUGUUCUGGAACUUAACUGCUACUGCAUCUUUACUUUCUUUCUUCUCAAUUGGUAUGCCUUAACCCCUGUUAUUCUAUUCUGUUCUACAUGCGUUAUUCGGUUAGUCUAUUUAAAUUUUCAGCAUGCUUCUAUUUUCUCUAUGACUACAUGAUCCCACUUAGUGACAAUGCUACACUAAGUUACUUUCAGCAAUAUGUUUCCUGUCCAAUUCAGCUAUAUGUUCCCUAUUCUGACUAUUGUUAGAUAUUGUAAGCACGUAAUCUGUGGUUAAUUCUGUACGUUAGUUCAAGUAUCUUUGCUUUAUGAUUACUUUAAAUGCUGGUAUGAGUAUCUAGUCUGAACAAAUAUCAACUUAAUUGAACUAUAUGCUGAAAAUGAGUUUGUUUGUUUCUGGUGCAGUUCUGUUACUGUUCUGUAUGUGCUGAUUUCUAAACCUAUUCUCAUUUACCCUUUAUGUACUAGUUUUCAAACUUCCACUCUUAGUUAUUUAGAUUCCUACCACCCCCAGUGUGAGCACUGCCUAAGGUCCUUGAGACUCCUCUGAACUCUGACACAUUGGGGCAGGUCUUCUAAUAUUUUUAUGAACUGCUUCUCUGAGUGUGGUCCUGGUGUGAGCAUUGCCCGGGGGUCCUGAUACCCUUGGGAACUUUGACACACUAGGAGUCCAAUUUUAUAUGCUAUGGAUGGAUUACCAUUAUGCUUCAAAGUUGCUAUAUUUGAAGGCCUGGUUCCCAGGUUCAUAUUGGGCCUGCUAAGCUCCCUAUAGUGUAAUAGCUACUGUUAUGUAAUUUAUUCAUUCUAGGCUGUAAUAAUUUUUGUAAUGAACAUAUCUGGGGUUUAUGAGUAAAAACUGGGAGGGAUUUUUCAUAUCUUUGUUUGAAAGUCGGGUAGAAAUCUUGCUUAUAUGUUUAUUG